rnacentral:misc_RNA from 1 species
CCCACGCGCCCCCGCCAAUCUCUCUUCCUCGCCGCCUCCACCAACUCAGCCACCUUCCAUGGUCUCUGCUACGUUGUUGACGACAACAUCGACACCGAUCAGAUCAUCCCCGCCGAGUACCUAACUCUUGUGCCCUCGAACCCGGCCGAAUACGAGAAGCUUGGUUCCUAUGCCCUAAUUGGACUCCCGGCCUCUUAUGAGACCCGGUUCGUUGAACCGAACGAAGUGAAAACGAAAUAUUCCAUUGUUAUUGGUGGCGAUAAUUUCGGGUGUGGUUCAUCGCGUGAGCA